GACGAACGCUGGCGGCGUGCCUAAUACAUGCAAGUCGAACGAACCGCGACUAGGUGCUUGCACUUGGUCAUGGUGAGUGGCGAACGGGUGAGUAACACGUGGGUAACCUACCUCAUAGUGGGGGAUAACAGUCGGAAACGACUGCUAUUACCGCAUAGGACUUAGGAUCACAGGAUGCUGUGAGGAAAGGUGGCGCAAGCUAUCGCUAAGAGAUGGACCCGCGGUGCAUUAGCUAGUUGGUGGGGUAAAGGCCUACCAAGGCGAUGAUGCAUAGCCGACCUGAGAGGAUGAUCAGCCACAUUGGGACUGAGACACGGCCCAGACUCCUACGGGAGGCAGCAGUAGGGAAUAUUCCGCAAUGGACGCAAGUCUGACGGAGCAACGCCGCGUGAGUGAAGAAGGUCUUCGGAUCGUAAAGCUCUGUUGUUAGAGAAGAAAAGCGCAUAGUGUAACUGUUAUGCGUGUGACGGUAUCUAACGAGAAAGCAACGGCUAACUUCGUG
rnacentral:rRNA from 1 species